UGCCCCUCCCCCCUCCCCGGCCCCUCCCCCCCCGCCGGCAGCCGCCGCCCCCCCCGCGCUCCCCGUUCUACCUGGAAUCUCUGGAAUCUCGCCGUGCCGGGGCCGCGCCGAGCGCCUGGAGCGGCUGCUGAGGCUGAACGAGCAGCGCUGCGGCCUCAGCCCCGUCUACGGCCGGGAGGUCCUGCAGUUCCUGACGCUGCCCCCCAGGGAAAUCCGGAGCCCGGGGGGGGGCCCUGGACAGCGCCGUGCUCGGGCCCCCCCAGCGCCUGCAGCAGAUGAAGCCCAUCCUCGACAGGUUCCUGGUGGCGGUGCCGGCGGUGGCCUCCCGGGGCGUGUCC